rnacentral:rRNA from 1 species
UACGUAGGGGGCAAGCGUUAUCCGGAAUCAUUGGGCGUAAAGCGCGUGUAGGCGGUUCCGUAAGUCCGCUCUGAAAAGCCCAGGGCUCAACCCUGGGAGGCGGGUGGAUACUACGGAACUGGAGUACGGAAGAGGAGAUUGGAAUUCCUGGUGUAGCGGUGAAAUGCGCAGAUAUCAGGAGGAACACCAACAGCGAAGGCAGAUCUCUGGGACGUUACUGACGCUGAGACGCGAAAGCGUGGGGAGCAAACAGG